CCGAGGCCCCGCCCUCUGGCUGACUCGGAGCAGCCCAGCCAGGCAGCGGGCAACCAGGAAGGAACAAGGCUGACCCCCUGGCUUUGAGCAGAGAACAGGAGGCCCUCCGGAGAGGCCGGCGGUCCACGAGGGCGACUGUGAAACCAGGGACCCUGAGGAGACUUCUCUCCUUCACCUGAACUCUACGAGGAGAUGGAGCCUGGGUGCCAGGAGAGACCCCUGUGCCCGUCCCUCUCCUCCGGGAGCCAAGACGAAUGUGGGAUGUCUCUGAACGUCCUCCGGGAGGAGCCCCAUCUCAGAGCUGCUCCUCAGGGCCCGAGCCGAAGGACCGGGAUGCGGGGCUGGAGAGACAGGCCAUCCACGAACAGACAAAGGGGGGGCACCAAGCUCCACGAGAGGCAGGCCUGCGGCCCCAGGGAGACAACGGUGCCCUGGGACCAGGUGCCAAUGGAACGUGAGUGAUGCCAGCAGCUGCCAGGGGCCACUUUACAAAGGACGAGGGGAGCUGGGGCCAUAGGGCUGGAUGGUUGUUCCCAACACUGGGUAAUUUAAAGCAAGGAAAUGAUAGGCUCGAAUCAAAAUGUUCGCCUCAAGGCACAGAAUAAAAUUCAAGGCCAUUAUAUGAAAGAAUCUUUU
rnacentral:lncRNA from 1 species